rnacentral:rRNA from 1 species
ACUCCUACGGGAGGCAGCAGUGGGGAAUAUUGCACAAUGGGCGCAAGCCUGAUGCAGCCAUGCCGCGUGUAUGAAGAAGGCCUUCGGGUUGUAAAGUACUUUCAGCAGUGAGGAAGGCGGGUACGUUAAUAGCGUGCUUGUUUGACGUUAGCUGCAGAAGAAGCACCGGCUAACUCCGUGCCAGCAGCCGCGGUAAUACGGAGGGUGCGAGCGUUAAUCGGAAUUACUGGGCGUAAAGCGCAUGCAGGUGGUUUGUUAAGUCAGAUGUGAAAGCCCGGGGCUCAACCUCGGAAUUGCAUUUGAAACUGGCAGACUAGAGUACUGUAGAGGGGGGUAGAAUUUCAGGUGUAGCGGUGAAAUGCGUAGAGAUCUGAAGGAAUACCGGUGGCGAAGGCGGCCCCCUGGACAGAUACUGACACUCAGAUGCGAAAGCGUGGGGAGCAAACA